rnacentral:lncRNA from 1 species
CUGGUCUUUGGAUUGUGGUGUGCUAGGAGGAGAAAUAAUGAAAGAACAGAUAGGAUGUGAAAUCCAGUAGAGUAACUGAAAAAUUCAGUAUUGUAGAAUCUAUCGGAGGUGAGGGAGGGGAAGAGUCAGAGCAGAGGGCAAAGUGUUAAGAUCCCCCUACCCUCCAUUCAAGGAUAAAAUAGACUGAAUCUUGACAAUUAUACAUCUGACGAAUUUCUUAGAAGAUGGCAACAUGUUAGGCCAAAACUGGAUAAAGAAGCUGAUAAUUUUCCCUGCUGGCACCAUGAGAGUGUGGUCCAGGUCUUUUCAAUGCCCAGCACAGGCCUCGGAUGACACUAGGCUGUCGCCCAGUGGAACCCCUGAAGACUUGGUCAAAGCAGCCAAAAAUCUCUGAGGAGCACUUUAGCCCAGCUCUGGAGCCCCAGCCCUUCAUUUUGACCACUGAGGAAACUGAAGCCUAAGGAAGGGAAGUGACCGAGGUCACCCAGGUAGAAAAAACUGGAGGGGUGGGCUUUCGACCCAGCUCUUCUGAAGCCACAACGUGGGAUUUGAAUCCAGGUCCUCUAAAACUUCCUUCUCAAUUUUAACUGGUCCAACACACCCCCUCAAUGGGACUUCAGGCU